rnacentral:rRNA from 1 species
GACGAACGCUGGCGGCGUGCUUAACACAUGCAAGUCGAACGGAAAGGCCUGCUUUCCCUUGUGGAUUGCGGGUGCUCGAGUGGCGAACGGGUGAGUAACACGUGAGUGAUCUGCCCCCAACUUGGGUAUAAGCCUGGGAAACUGGGUCUAAUUCCCGAUAGGACUGCAGGGUGGUGCCUGUGGUGGAAAACGAUUUUCUAGUGGUUGGGGAUGAGCUCGCGGCCUAUCAGCUUGUUGGUGGGGUAAUGGCCUACCAAGGCGGCGACGGGUAGCCGGCCUGAGAGGGUGGACGGCCACAUUGGGACUGAGAUACGGCCCAGACUCCUACGGGAGGCAGCAGUGGGGAAUAUUGCACAAUGGGCGGAAGCCUGAUGCGGCGACGCCGCGUGGGGAAUGACGGCCUUCGGGUUGUAAACUCCUUUCGACCGCGAGGAAGCCACCUGGUUGGAAGGGUGGUGACGGUAGUGGUAGAAGAAGCACCGGCUAACUACGUG